GACGAACGCUGGCGGCGUGCUUAACACAUGCAAGUCGAACGAAGAGCGAUGGAAGCUUGCUUCUAUCAAUCUUAGUGGCGAACGGGUGAGUAACGCGUAAUCAACCUGCCCUUCAGAGGGGGACAACAGUUGGAAACGACUGCUAAUGCCGCAUACGAUCUGACCUCGGCAUCGAGGAUAGAUGAAAGGUGGCCUCUAUUUAUAAGCUAUCACUGAAGGAGGGGAUUGCGUCUGAUUAGCUAGUUGGAGGGGUAACGGCCCACCAAGGCGAUGAUCAGUAGCCGGUCUGAGAGGAUGAACGGCCACCUUGGGACUGAGACACGGCCCAGACUCCUACGGGAGGCAGCAGUGGGGAAUCUUCCGCAAUGGACGAAAGUCUGACGGAGCAACGCCGCGGGAGUGAUGACGGCCUUCGGGUUGUAAAGCUCUGUUAAUCGGGACGAAAGGCCUUCUUGCGAAUAGUUAGAAGGAUUGACGGUACCGGAAUAGAAAGCCACGGCUAACUACGUG
rnacentral:rRNA from 1 species